UACGGAGGAUCCGAGCGUUAUUCGGAUUCACUGGGCGUAAAGGGUGCGCAGGUGGCCGUGUGUGUCAGAUGUGAAAUCCCGGAGCUUAACUCCGGAACUGCGUCUGAAACUACACGGCUAGAGCAUUGGAGAGGGUAGUGGAAUUCACGGUGUAGCAGUGAAAUGCGUAGAUAUCGUGAGGAACACCAGAGGCGAAGGCGACUACCUGGACAAUAGCUGACACUCAGGCACGAAAGCGUGGGGAGCCAAAGGG
rnacentral:rRNA from 1 species